rnacentral:rRNA from 1 species
GGAAUUUUGCGCAAUGGGCGAAAGCCUGACGCAGCAACGCCGCGUGGAGGAUGAAGGUCUUUGGAUUGUAAACUCCUGUCAGCAGGGAAAAAGGGACUGGACCUCAUACGUCUGGAACUUGCUUGUACCUGCAGAUGAAGCCCCGGCUAACUCUCUGCCAGCAGCCGCGGUAAGACCGAGGGGGCAAGCGUUAUUCGGAAUUAUUGGGCGUAAAGGGCGCGUAGGCGGCUUUGCAAGUGACGGGUGAAAGCCCUCGGCUUAACCGAGGAACUGCCUGUCAGACUGUGAGGCUUGAGACCAGGAGAGGUGAGUGGAAUUCCCAGUGUAGCGGUGAAAUGCGUAGAUAUUGGGAGGAACACCAGUGGCGAAGGCGGCUCACUGGACUGGUACUGACGCUGAGGCGCGAAAGCGUGGGGAGCAA